CCUACGACCUCCAGUCCUCAGAACGACCAGCCCAAGAAACCUCUCACCAAUUUCAAAUCCGAUCUGCUUGGCUUAGCGACUGAAGAUUGACGCUGCCCGAUCGCCUCGGAAGCCCCCUGGACCAUCACGGACACCGAGCUUCAGGUAACUCUCACAGUGGAGGAAGGCAGGAAUGUCAGGCCUCUGAGCCCAGGCCAGGCCAUCGCAUCCCCUGUGACUUGCACGUAUACAUCCAGAUGGCCUGAAGUAACUGAAGAUCCACAAAAGAAGUAAAAACAGCCUUAACUGAUGACAUUCCACCAUUGUGAUUUGUUCCUGCCCCACCCUAACUGAUCAAUGUACUUUGUAAUCUCCCCCACCCUUAAGAAGGUUCUUUGUAAUUCUCCCCACUCUUGAGAAUGUACUUUGUGAGAUCCACCCCUGCCCACCAGAGAACAACCCCCUUUGACUGUAAUUUUCCAUUACCUUCCCAAAUCCUAUAAAAUGGCCCCACCCCUAUCUCCCUUCGCUGACUCUCUUUUCGGACUCAGCCCACCUGCACCCAGGUGAAAUAAACAGCCAUGUUGCUCAC
rnacentral:lncRNA from 10 species